UACGAAGGGGGCUAGCGUUGCUCGGAAUUACUGGGCGUAAAGCGCACGUAGGCGGUCUUUUACGUCGGUGGUGAAAUCCUGGAGCUCAACUCCAGAACUGCCUUCGAUACUGGAAGACUUGAGUCCGGGAGAGGUGAGUGGAACUGCGAGUGUAGAGGUGAAAUUCGUAGAUAUUCGCAAGAACACCAGUGGCGAAGGCGGCUCACUGGCCCGGUACUGACGCUGAGGUGCGAAAGCGUGGGGAGCAAACAGG
rnacentral:rRNA from 1 species